CCGAGUGAGCCCCUUUGGGGGCGACCUCCAACCCUUUUGUAAUCAAACCUUUGUUGCCUCGGGGUGGCCCGGGCCUACCCGGUCCAGGCGCCCCGGUGGACCAUUUCUUAACACUGCAUGUCUGCGUCGGAUGAUAAAAGUUUAAUUGAUGA
rnacentral:misc_RNA from 1 species